UAAAAAAAAGCCCUGCAAAAAUAUGCAGGGUCCUUCUAUGUCUAACUAAGGACCAGAAGGCAAAGGGAGAGGAGAAACCGGAGGAAGAACUUAUGGGGAAACGUAAGCCUUCUCCGCGG
rfam:Bacillus sp. FJAT-22058 super1, whole genome shotgun sequence.